AGCAGCCGCCACGGUAAUACAGAGGGUGCGAGCGUUAAUCGGAUUUACUGGGCGUAAAGCGUGCGUAGGCGGCUUCUUAAGUCGGAUGUGAAAUCCCUGAGCUUAACUUAGGAAUUGCAUUCGAUACUGGGAAGCUAGAGUAUGGGAGAGGAUGGUAGAAUUCCAGGUGUAGCGGUGAAAUGCGUAGAGAUCUGGAGGAAUACCGAUGGCGAAGGCAGCCAUCUGGCCUAAUACUGACGCUGAGGUACGAAAGCAUGGGAAGCAAACAGGAUUAGAUACCCGCGUAGUCCCUGUCUCUUAUAC
rnacentral:rRNA from 1 species